GGGGAUGUAGCUCAGAUGAUAGAGCGCUCACUUAGAAUGCAAUAGGUAUAGGGAUUGAAACCUUGCAUCUCCA
rnacentral:tRNA from 1 species